rnacentral:rRNA from 12 species
CUCAACUGGAUAGUACCGGCACACCUGAGUGUAAGUUCCUGCUCUUGGAAGCUAAGCAGGUUUGUGCCUGGGCAGUACUUGGAUGGGAGACCACCUAUGAAGACCAGUGGGUUGUGU